AUUGAACGCUGGCGGCAGGCCUAACACAUGCAAGUCGAACGAGUGGCGGACGGGUGAGUAAUGUCUGGGAAACUGCCUGAUGGAGGGGGAUAACUACUGUAAACGGUAGCUAAUACCGCCUACCCUCGGAUGUGCCCAGAUGGGUUUAGAUAGUUGGGGGGGUAAAGGCCUACCAAGGCGACGAUCCGUAACUGGUCUGAGAGGAUGAUCAGUCACACUGGAACGGAGACACGGUCCAGACUCCUACGGGAGGAAGCAGUGGGGAAUAUGGGACAAUGGGAGAAGGCCUGAUCCAGCCAUGCCGAGUGUGUGAUGACGGCCUUCGGGUUGUAAAGCUCGUUAAUCGGGACGACGGUACCGGAAGAGAAAGCCACGGCUAACUACGUGCCAGCAGCCGCGGUAAUAC
rnacentral:rRNA from 1 species